UACAGAGGUCUCAAGCGUUGUUCGGAUUCAUUGGGCGUAAAGGGUGCGUAGGUGGCGCGCUAAGUCGGGUGUGAAAUUUCGGAGCUUAACUCCGAAACUGCAUUCGAUACUGGUGUGCUUGAGGACUGGAGAGGAGACUGGAAUUCAUGGUGUAGCAGUGAAGUGCGUAGAGAUCAUGAGGAAGACCAGUGGCGAAGGCGGGUCUCUGGACAGUUCCUGACACUGAGGCACGAAGGCCAGGGGAGCAAACAGG
rnacentral:rRNA from 1 species